ACACGUGCGCCACUACAAAAAAUAUUGGUAAAAAUGGCACUAAUUUUAUGGAGGGUCAAAAAAACUGCCAUUAUGUUUGUUAAUUACAGCAGCGCCAACUUAUGCCAUAAUGCUAAUGAUUUUUGUGGCAGCUUUGUUGAUUGUGGCGUUUCAAACCGCCAUAGAAUUUUUUUUCCCUUUUUUAACUUGAGCGAUGUUGCAUAUGAGAGUGUAAUUAGUAUUGUUGCAUAUGAGAAAAUGAGGAUGAGUGUCAAUGACGAACCCUAAUUUCUUGCCAUUGUUCAUCUUCCUGAUUUGUCAUUCAACUCCUCGCUAUCACUCAUCACUUUGUUGCAGCUCAUCUCCUCGCUGCUGCAAGCAACGCCGUUGUUGCUGCCUUCAGCGAGCUUCUACGAUUUGGCUUUGAUCUGAAGAUUUUUCAACGUUCGUCUCAUCACCAUCGUUCAUCCCCUCGCCAUUGCAAGAAACACCGUUGUCCUUUUCAUCAAGCUUCAAUGAUUUGGCUUCGAUAUGAAGAUUUGUCGCCGCUCAUCUCAUUGCCAUCAUUCAUCUCUGCACCAUCGCAAGCAACACCAUUGUCGCUGCCUUCUAUGAUCUGAUUUUCAAUCUGGCUCACCUCCUCACCUCGGCAAGCAACGCCGUUGUUGCUGCCUUCAGCAAGCUUCUUCAAUUUGGUUUCACCAUCUCUGUCACUUCUAAUAGUACAACACAACACUUUACUUUCUCUUCAAAACAAGUCACGGCAUUGUGGAGGAACUGAUUGGGUUUGGAGCAAGAGUGCACGCAUGUGCAAGGAACGAAGCUGAGCUCACUAAGUCUCUCAUCUAAUGAAAUGAUUCUGGUUUUGAGGUUACUAACUCUGUUUGCAAUGUCUUUGUUCCUCAUCAGAGGGAGAAGCUUAUGGACUCUGUGUGUUCUGAAUUCCAAGGAAAACUCAACAUCCUUAUUUGAAUUUGUUAGAAAAUCCAAAUGAAGAGGGGGAUAUAUAUACUUAAAAGAUGAAAAGACUUAAAUGGUUAUCUUCAUCUGUUUGCUUUGGCAAUGGUGCAGAGAAUUUCGGGCAACCCAAACCAAAGUUUGAAGUGAAAAAGACAAGAAACUGAGGACUCUGAGUGCCACAGUGAAUUCCAAUACUUUCUCAAUGACCCUUUGAAUUAUGAUCUUAAAUAUUACGUUAGUGCACAGCCAUUCCUUGUGUUUGAUCUUCUAGAAGCAUAUUCUAGAGGGUUUGUUAACUGUAAAUUUUUAUUAUAAGUGAGUUUAGUUUAAUGUGAAAAUUUUUAGCUUAAGUUAGUUUACUAUUUUGGGUGGUGCUUGUAAAUUAAAAAAAAUAAACUAAAGAAAAAUAAUAACCUGGGAAUCGCCCUCACAAAUCUACUGUGACUGCUACAAAAUUAUUAUUUAAAAGAGAUUCGCUUGUUUAUACUUCCAAACCUUGAGCCAUAUUUGCUUCUCCUUGAGCCGGAAAUGCAACCAGAGAAACAGAGAAAUGAAACAAAGAGGCAGGAAGCAUGGCAAGUAUAUGGGGCCUUGUUGUGUGCUGUUGGACAAUGUAUGCAUGAAAGGGCCAAAAUCUUCAGCAAUUUGCUCUCUCCUCCAACACGUGCUUCUUCUAGACCCAAUGGAAAAGCCAUGAUUGCUAUAUCAACCGGCUUGAUAGAAAUUCCCUGACAGGAGUGGUUCCUAAAAAUUUUUGUAAGAGAUGAGUUUGGAUAAUGAAAAUGGAGUGUUGGAGCAAGAAACAAAGAUGUUGGAGCAAGUUACCAGGAUGAAACUCACACAAGAGACCAAGAAACUAAGACAGGCUUGUUUUAAAGUUAAUUACAAAAGGAGGAAAUUUUUGGCCUCCAAAUCUUAUUCAUUAUCACUUAGCUAAGCUACUUGUCUUGUAUAUUCAUAUUCUAAGUAGUAAAAACAGCACUUAUUAGAUGGUUUAAAUACAUUAUUAGAUAUUAACAUAGUUUAGGAAACUGGAUGGUAGAUUUGACUGAUUAGUGUUUAUUGCAAUGCUUGUAUUUUGGUAAGUUUAGUAAGACAAGGUUUUGUAUAG